rnacentral:rRNA from 1 species
GACGAACGCUGGCGGCGUGCUUAACACAUGCAAGUCGAACGGAAAGGCCCUGCUUUUGUGGGGUGCUCGAGUGGCGAACGGGUGAGUAACACGUGAGUAACCUGCCCUUGACUUUGGGAUAACUUCAUGAAACUGGGGCUAAUACCGGAUCGGAGCUCCUGCUGCAUGGUGGGGGUUGGAACGUUUCGGCGGUUGGGGAUGGACUCGCGGCUUAUCAGCUUGUUGGUGGGGUAGUGGCUUACCAAGGCUUUGACGGGUAGCCGGCCUGAGAGGGUGACCGGCCACAUUGGGACUGAGAUACGGCCCAGACUCCUACGGGAGGCAGCAGUGGGGAAUAUUGCACAAUGGGCGGAAGCCUGAUGCAGCAACGCCGCGUGCGGGAUGACGGCCUUCGGGGUGUAAACCGCUUUCGCCUGUGACGAAGCGUGAGUGACGGUAAUGGGUAAAGAAGCACCGGCUAACUACGUG